GAGUGAUGUCUGAGAUUUGGGGGGGGGGGGGGGGGUAGAGAAAAGGCAACAGAAGAUAGGUGAGAAACCAUAUGCAUGCAGUUUGACUGCCAAGAGUUAGAUUUUAGCCAGGCCCCCAAAUAUUUGCUAAAUGCAGGUGCUUCUGGGAUCAGGAAAGAAGACUGGAGAGAGGGAAACUUUAAUUCCUGGUUCUUACCCAGGCUGUUCCUUACCUGGGCUGACUUUCCUAUUUAAAUAAACUCCCAAAGGACAAGCGGGUUCCUGCAGGACUGAGGAUUGAAAGCUUUUUGUUUUGAGGGGACCUUUUACCACACUGACUGAAGAAAUGUCGAUCCAAUAAUCUUGGAUCAGCUUGGCACUUUGAUAUCUCAGAAACACAUGUGGGAGUGGGUGGAGUUUCUGCCCCUAUAGGAGGGUUUACUAAAAUGUGCUAGGAGACUAAAGAAAAGGAUAUAUUCAUGGAAAUAUAUAAGUACCAGGCUAUGAGAAAACCCUUAACUGCUGCAGAGAACUGUAAGAUAAAGGGUCGAGAUCGAAUAAAGAGAAAGCAGUAUUUCCCAGAUUGCCUGUUGCCCACAUUUUUCAAGAGGAAAAGUGGAGUUUGGAGAAUCCUGCCAAUUUAGUGCCCAACUGGGGAGAAAUUUUCAGAUUCCACUGAAGCCCCUUUGGAUUUAGAGGCAGAAAGAUGAGAUUUGGGUCGAGGACUGGACUCUAAGAUACUCUGGAGCAGCUAAAAGCCUUCCCAUUAUCAAUAGGGGUCAUGGCCUAUAAAACUGAGCCAUUGCAAACAGAGCAUCUUAGAGAAAGGAAUAGGGACGGGAGGCUUGCCCAAUUCUGCCUCUUCCAGAACAGGUUCCCUCUUAAUGGAGAUCUAGGUUUAGGGUUUCUAGAUGUUGCAAGACUUGUGUUGCUCUUCAGAACCAUCUCCUUGCUUAGAAGGCUUAUUGGGAAAUGUGGACUUCUCUCCAAGUAAUAGCAAAAAAAAAAUUUUUUUUUAAGGCAGUGAGAAGAUAGAUACACUUGCAACACAAGAGAAAGGGGAAGCUGGGAAGCUGCUGUGCUUUUGAAGAGAAUAGGUCCUCUCAUGUGAAGGUAAGUUGCCUAAGAAGAUCCAAGGAAUAGAAAUAAAAUACUGAUAAAUGAAACAAUGAACAAAACCUGAAUAAUUCUGGACUAUCGUUUAAAAAGCUGCAGAUCAGUUGACUCCACAGCAGUGAGGGAAGGGAAAAACCAAUUAAAAAAUCUUCAAAGCCAGCAGCAGCAGCCAUGUGGCCUUGAAGGGGAUUCUUCUUUUCCAUAUUACUUCCCAAAUAAAAAGGAUCUAAGAAAACAUAUGCACUUGGUAAACUUGGUUCCUCCCCUACUCUCUCCAAAUGCAUCUACUUUAAUCAGCCCCCAGUGGCAGUCCCCAGUCCCUCCCUCCACUCCCUGUCCCCAGACCUAAGCAAGGGAGAGUCACACAUCAGAAGCUGCUGAGCUUUGGUAGCAAUGUAAAAAACAAAUGGAAUUAUUUGAGCCAUCAAUAAUAGAAAUCAAGAAAGCAAAGGCUAUUUGGUUUGGGGAGAUACAGAUGUGAAGCUAUCCAUUUGCUGGGGAGGGAUUGUUCCAAAGACUAUGGAAAUGUACCCUGCUCGACUUCAGUAGACAGCCAUACCUUAAGUGGAGACACAUUGAGGACAUUACAAUUAGAAGUGGGCAUGGGGUUUUUAUUUUCAGUGUACAGCGGCAUUGGUUUCUGCUCCACAGCAGAAAGCAUUAUUGGUUCCCCCCAAAAUUUAAAUAAAAUUAUCAUUUUUAUUUUCUUCUAAAAAAUCUCUUUUAGUCUUCUCAUCUCAGUCAACUGUCUCGUUUAAGUUUUAAUGUUCCCAGAAGUGUUGACAGUUCAUUCUAUCUCCCCCCACCAAAAAAACCCCAUAUAAAUACAUGCAAAACAUGGUACAUAGAGCUUAAAUAUUGUUAGAAUGCAGGUACAGACUGGGUACACAGUUAAGCAGAACUGCAGAGCAUCGCCACACAUGCCAGGAUACAUAUUGCUUUAAAACCACCAUUUACUUUUUAAGUCAUGCAUACCACAAAUACUUAAGUCUUUUGUUUUGUUUUUUCCUUUUUAUACAAAAAUACCAGUGCUUGCUAUGAGUUACUGGGGAAACCAAAGAAACUCAAAACUCCUAUUUGUGGACUGCUUGCAAUAGAUCUAAGAGUUAGAUUCAUUGGCACACACAUAUAUUUAUACACAUAUGGAUAUAUAUGUAUAGAUAUAGAAAAUGUUUGACAAGGCCAAUUUAGUCAUGGGAGGGUGAUCUGAACUCAUCUUUGUAUAUCUUCCUUUUGGAUUAAAAACAGGAAAUGAUGUGGUAGGACUGACAAAGGCAAAAUUAAGAAAGGGAUGGGAAAAAGUUAAAAGUAAAAGGAUUUGGCCCAUUGAAAGGGAAAGAAGCUUGGACUUAUUGAAGGAUGUUUACAGGUAACCUCUUUUUUUCCAAUAGGAUGACCCAUAAGAAAUAGUAGGGGGUGGGGGUGGGAUCAAGAUAUUCUUGAAUGUUGCCACUGACUGGCUCAAUUACAGGGAAAGAGGAAACAAGAUUUAUCUAGAGGGACUCAUGGCAUGUGUAAGCUCCACUCCCUAAGGCCUUUUCUAAGUUUUAGUGGUUUGAAAUUCUACUUAUAAACUUUCCUUUCCAGGGCUUGGGGAAAGGGGAAAGGGGAAGAGAGGAGAAGUAAAAAAACUGAAAAAGGCUGAAUUAAUUGAAUUAAAAGGAGUCCACCAGGUUCCCCUCGAAGGGGUUCUGAGGUGAAUCUCCCAUUCCUAAGUGAGGAAGAGGGGAAUAGCUCCUCAACCAUCAUUGUCCAGAGGACCGGGGGAGUUUUGUUCAGACAGUUCCCCAAGACUUCCAACCAUGACUAGAAUCGACUUGUGUUUUUCCCAUUUGGGAUAAAUCCUUCCUCAUUCAGCAUGAAAUCUUUCUGGGGGGAAACAUUCAGAUCCUCAUGUAAAAAAAAUCCUCCCUAUGUUCUAUGUAUUAAUAUUAAACACCCAGGUAUACAAAAAGUGAAAAUUUUGCAGAAAUUGCCAAUUUUAAGAGAGAUCAGCCCAGUAGACUAGAAGAGAGGAAAUGGAAAUCUGACUACAUGGGGAUAAAAUUCCAUCUUCUGUUUGACAAACUAUUUCUUGCUAAAUGUUUUCCCUUUCCAUUAGCAGACUAACUGCCCUCCUUAUCCAUUAUGUCUUGUCUAGAGAGGAAUCCCUUACCACCCUGUGCUAUCCAUUUGAAAUCCAAAGCACUGUUUUAUUUUUUUUGGGGGGGGGAAGGAGAAGAAAUUUUCUUAAAUAACUUAAGACAUAGUUACCUGUUGCCAGUUGUAUCACUGAAACUAGAAAAUAAUUUUACGCAAAAAAGUAUGCACAUAAACACUUAAAACUUCUUACUCAACCAGCUAUAUCAUUUACAUAACAUCUCCAUAACCCAAUUAAUUUUUAAAUUUUUUCUUAAGUACAAAGAUGGCUACUUGGAGAAAGGAAGCAGUUUAUUGGCUUUGAGAAGCAAAGACAUACUAAGUCACUGUCACAUCCAACAACUAGUUUGCAUGAACUCUUUAGCUGGGCUACAUGACAGCAAUUUAUUUUUAAUCCUUUUAAAUAAAAUACAUAUGGCUGACUUAAAAAUAUGAGUUUCUGAUCUAAAGAAAACUAAUUUUGCAUAUUUAGUCUCUCUCUUCUAUGGAAACUAGAACACAAAAAUCCUUUGAUUUUAAAAAGUAGACAAGGCUCUCAUGAUUGCCCUGCCAGGCACCUAUUGGUCUCUUUAGGGAGUAAACAUGGAAAAGUAGCCUCCAAAGUUGUUUUUAAAUAUAUCUGAGGU
rnacentral:lncRNA from 1 species